rnacentral:rRNA from 1 species
CAGCAGCCACGGUAAUACGAAGGGGGCUAGCGUUGUUCGGAUUUACUGGGCGUAAAGCGCACGUAGGCGGACUUUUAAGUCAGGGGUGAAAUCCCGGGGCUCAACCCCGGAACUGCCUUUGAUACUGGAAGUCUUGAGUAUGGUAGAGGUGAGUGGAAUUCCGAGUGUAGAGGUGAAAUUCGUAGAUAUUCGGAGGAACACCAGUGGCGAAGGCGGCUCACUGGACCAUUACUGACGCUGAGGUGCGAAAGCGUGGGGAGCAAACAGGAUUAGAUACCCGAGUAGUCCCUGUCUCUUACAC